CCCCACGGUGCGGCCACGUCGUGUGGGGCCCGCUGGGCAGCUGCCGAAGGUUAGAGAUGGUGCUGUAGCUUGUCUCAGGAGCACACCUGCAGAGAAGGCAAAGACCUGGGAGCAGAAUGGAGCCCUGGUGCACCUCUCACUUGGUGAAGGUGUUCCCAAGCAUCACGGACCAUCCCAUCGGGUAAUACGGCAAAGCCACUCCAUGGACGUGCACCAGGGCUCUGGCAAUGUGAGCCUGGCUCGGCCACUCUCCCUGCGGCUGGAAUGCUGUGCAGGGAGUACCUCGGGCUUGAGAAACCCUGGUACCCCACGUAACUCCAUCCCUGCCCAAUACCAGCUGUGGGAGUAAUUUACAAUCAUGUAACUCAAAUGUUUUCACAAAGCUGGGAAGACAGCACGGGGGACUAAACCCAGUGUGAAAUAACAUUAAGGAUACUUGGCAUUUUCGUGAAGGCCCGAGUUUUCAACACCCUAUAUAAUGAUUAGGUGUUUAAUCUUCUGCCCUCUGAGCCGGUUCAGUAAUGACUACCUCUGUGAGGAAACAGGAUAAAGUUCUUGCUAGUUAAAGACCUGCAAUUAAAAUACUUAUCACUAUUCUCCUUAA